UAAUUACGUAUACAAUUUCUAUCUUGCUUGCUCUGCCUCCCAGACUUCAGUAUUGCCUUUCCCGGAAGCGUUUCCUGACUUUCCCUGGGAGAGUUGACCACACUCCCUCCUGCUGUUUCUGUACUUAGAAACAUCUGUCAGGUCAUCUCUGACACUUCCUUCCACUUACCUCUUCAGCAGCCUGCCUUCCUCAAGACCUUGAGUCCCUUUAAGGCAGAAGUCAAAGUAAUGGCUUAAGGUGUCUCAAUGCUUGUACCUACUGCAAAACUAAACAUGCCAGAGGAAAUUCGGCCAGUUACCCGAUUGAUGAGCUAGUAGAUAGAGCCAAACAAUCUUUUCAAGAUUCUUGCUCUGUUGCCAGGCUGGAGUACAGUGGCACGAUCUCAACUCAUUACAACCUUCGCCUCCCGGGUUCGAUUAAUUCUUCUGCCUCAGUCUCCUAAGGAGCUGGGACCACAGGAGCACACCACCAUGCCCAGCUAAUUUUUGUAUUUUUAGUAGAGACAGAGUUUCACUAUGUUGGCCGGGAUGGUCUCGCUCUCUUGACCCUGUGAUCCACCCGCCUCAGCCUCCCAAAGUGCUGGGAUUACAGUCACUAUGCCCGGCCAAAAGUUUUUCUUCAAUAAUAAAUCA